AGCAGUCGCCGCGGGAACACGAAGGGUGCAAGCGUUAAUCGGAAUUACUGGGCGUAAAGCGUGCGUAGGCGGUGAGUUAAGUCUGCUGUGAAAUCCCCGGGCUCAACCUGGGAAUGGCAGUGGAUACUGGCUCGCUAGAGUGUGUCAGAGGAUGGUGGAAUUCCCGGUGUAGCGGUGAAAUGCGUAGAGAUCGGGAGGAACAUCAGUGGCGAAGGCGGCCAUCUGGGACAACACUGACGCUGAGGCACGAAAGCGUGGGGAGCAAACAGGAUUAGAUACCCCAGUAGUCCCUGUCUCUUAUAC
rnacentral:rRNA from 1 species